rnacentral:rRNA from 1 species
UAGGGAAUCUUCGGCAAUGGGGCAACCCUGACCGAGCAACGCCGCGUGAGUGAAGAAGGUUUUCGGAUCGUAAAGCUCUGUUGUAAGAGAAGAACGUGUGUGAGAGUGGAAAGUUCACACAGUGACGGUAACUUACCAGAAAGGGACGGCUAACUACGUGCCAGCAGCCGCGGUAAUACGUAGGUCCCGAGCGUUGUCCGGAUUUAUUGGGCGUAAAGCGAGCGCAGGCGGUUUAAUAAGUCUGAAGUUAAAGGCAGUGGCUUAACCAUUGUUCGCUUUGGAAACUGUUAAACUUGAGUGCAGAAGGGGAGAGUGGAAUUCCAUGUGUAGCGGUGAAAUGCGUAGAUAUAUGGAGGAACACCGGUGGCGAAAGCGGCUCUCAGGUCUGUAACUGACGCUGAGGCUCGAAAGCGUGGGGAGCAAACAGG